GGCCUCGUGGCCCAAUGGCAAGGCGUCUGACUACGAAAGAGCUUCAAGUUCUACUGUUAUCAGGAGAUUCUGGGUUCGACCCCCAGCGAGGUCA